rfam:Janibacter melonis strain CD11-4 contig_3, whole genome shotgun sequence.
CCUUCGUGGUUGUGAGAGGAUCGCGCCCGGCGCAGCCAACCGAGGAAUCCGGUGCGAAUCCGGAGCGGUCCCGCCACUGUCACGGCCCCCUGGGGCCCGAGCCAGACACUCGGUCUGCACCCGUCACCGUCA